UUCUCUUGACUAAUAGAAAACAAGAAAUCUUGACUAAUAGAAAACAAGAAAUCAACCGUUCAUUGAGAAUUGCCACAUAAAUAAUGCUGCAAAUGUUGGGAUGAACAAUAUUCUAUCUUCUCUGAUGACCACUCUACUACAGAUCUUGACAGUUUUGAUCCUGGAUAAGCAGUCAUCUAAGGCUUGACACAAAGUGAAAUAUUUUCAGGAGGCUGGGCUGAGAUAGCCUUAUUCCUGGUGCCCAACAUGGAAUAUGUGUGCUGUUUGUAGAAGGUAUGUGGAACCACAGACAUUUUCCCACCCACAGCAGGAAUACAUAGGUUAAAGUGGGAUUUCAAAGACAUGAAUUUUUCAAGACUGGCUGUCAUCCAAAUAGAGUGUCAUAGAGUUUCAGCAUCCAUGGAAGAGGAAGCAAAAGCUGGCAAACAUAAGGCAGAGAAAAGCUAACCAAAGGAAGUAUUGAACUAAAUCUGCAAUGAUGGGAAGGUUUGUACAAAGAAAUGUAAGAAACAGAGAAAAAUAAUAAUAAAAAGGUAAUAUUUGAGAUGAAAGGAUGAAGGAAAGACUUGUAUUAUUUUAAUGAACUUGUUAUGAAUCAGUAGGUAAUGAAGAAGAACUGAAAUGCACAUAUCUAAUAUCAAGUUACAUGAACCAAAAAAAGCAUUAAAUUCUGCUUUAACUGUUAACUGGCUUCUUCUCCACAGUGGCCUUAAAGAACUAACAGUUAAAUGGGCAAGGACAUUUCAAAGUAUUUUCUUGAAAGUUCUAUGGUUGUAUAGCUACUGUGAAAGCCAGGUGUACACUUGUAGUGAGAAGUUGCUGUCAAUGUCUGAAAACUGAAGUCAAAUAAAAUUUUCUGGAAAUUGCAGCCCUUUCAUUAUCUCAUGUAUGUCUAAUCUUUGGAAAAGGAGCCUUCAGCUUCAAUUAAAAUUGCAAGCAAAGAGAAUUUCAUUAGAAAACUGCUAGAAAAACUUUAUAUUAAUACCACAUUAUAUUAAUAUUUGGUGUUUUUAAGUUUAAUGUACACUUUCUGAGGUAUAUCCUUGCUUUUGUAUGUAGUUUUGUAUAUGCACAACUGUUGCUUUCAAUGGAGACUUCAAGUGUUAACUUCAGCUGUACAUGGAGAAGAUGAUAAAAUCUAGAUACAAAUUGCCUAUCAAAAGAAUGUGUACCGUUUUUAGUAAAAUUUUUCUUACCUGGUUUCAUAAUAUAUAACAUUAUUUUAAGCUUACUGUUCAGAUAUAAAUUAGACAUGACUUUCAUUUUAGCUAGUAAAAUUCUCCCUAUGAGAAUGAAAUCCAGCAUUAGUUUUCUUGCUAUGGUAACCCAAGACAAAUGAUUAUGCAGAUGAUUUGUUUAACUGACCAAGUCAGAGAGCAGUCAAGUUUGAAGAAGAGUCAUCUUGCAAAGAUUAUUAUGUCCAGUUGAAAAUAAUAAGCCAAACAUACCUUUGGACUAGGAAAAACAAGAAUCAUUUCUUGCUGCAAGUCAGAAGGGAUGUAGACAUAUUUUGCCCAGCAAUUUGUCAGAAAAAGACAAGAAAGUGUUCUCCGGCAUUAGCAUCUGCUACAUUAUUUUGGCAUUCUGGAACUGGGCAUGAAAUUAAAUUGGCAGAGCUACAGAAAAGGCACAUCUUUACCAGAACUGUCUGAACAGACAGUUGAAGAAUACUAUAUAAAGCACAUCUGGAUUUCUCUAAAA